CUACGGGGGGCUCCAGUGGGGAAUAUUGCACAAUGGGGGAAACCCUGAUGCAGCCAUGCCGCGUGUGUGAAGAAGGCUUUCGGGUUGUAAAGCACUUUCAGUGGGGAGGAAAGGGUGUAAGUUAAUACCUUGCAUCUGUGACGUUACCCACAGAAGAAGCACCGGCUAACUCCGUGCCAGCAGCCGCGGUAAUACGGAGGGUGCGAGCGUUAAUCGGAAUUACUGGGCGUAAAGCGCGCGUAGGUGGUUAAUUAAGUCAGAUGUGAAAGCCCCGGGCUCAACCUUGGAACUGCAUUUGAUACUGAUUAACUAGAGUUUUGUAGAGGGUGGUAGAAUUUCAGGUGUAGCGGUGAAAUGCGUAGAGAUCUGAAGGAAUACCAGUGGCGAAGGCGGCCACCUGGACAGAGACUGACACUGAGGCGCGAAGGCGUGGGGAGCAAACGGGAUUAGAUACCCUGGUAGUC
rnacentral:rRNA from 1 species